GGCGGGUUGCCCGAGCGGCCAAUGGGAGCGGACUGUAAAUCCGUCGGCGUAUGCCUUCCAAGGUUCGAAUCCUUGACCCGCCA
rnacentral:tRNA from 1 species